GGACCCGCACAAGCGGUGGAUGAUGUGGAUUAAUUCGAUGCAACGCGAAAAACCUUACCUACCCUUGACAUGGAAGGAAUCCCUGAGAGAUUGGGGAGUGCCCGAAAGGGAACCUUUACACAGGUGCUGCAUGGCUGUCGUCAGCUCGUGUCGUGAGAUGUUGGGUUAAGUCCCGCAACGAGCGCAACCCUUGUCAUUAGUUGCUACGAAAGGGCACUCUAAUGAGACUGCCGGUGACAAACCGGAGGAAGGUGGGGAUGACGUCAAGUCCUCAUGGCCCUUAUGGGUAGGGCUUCACACGUCAUACAAUGGUACAUACAGAGGGCCGCCAACCCGCGAGGGGGAGCUAAUCCCAGAAAGUGUAUCGUAGUCCGGAUUGUAGUCUGCAACUCGACUGCAUGAAGUUGGAAUCGCUAGUAAUCGCGGAUCAGCAUGUCGCGGUGAAUACGUUCCCGGGUCUU
rnacentral:rRNA from 1 species